ensembl:lncRNA
GCGGUUGCCGGAGGCGCUGUUGAGCCGCUCUCGGUCAGUCAGUACAGAGACUGGAGCCGCGGCGACCUGUCUCUCAACAUGACAACAAUCUCAUGAGCUGUUCUGUGAAUAAAACCGCUUGUUUGGGAGUAUUUAUACACUAACUGGACUAAAGGGACGGCGUAUCUAACUGAAGAGGAGGAGUCAAGAGAGACAGAUUUUUAGCAUUCAGGGGAAAAGAGGAGGCAGGCGGGUCAGCACUGACGAGAGAGGAGAUCCUGCUACAGUCUGGAGGGCUUAUCCUGGGCUGCCAGCAAACUCGGGUGUGGCUCUCUGUCUGGAGCUGCUACUGACCUCAGCCCUGCUGUC